AUUGAACGCUGGCGGCAGGCCUAACACAUGCAAGUCGCACGAGUGGCGGACGGGUGAGUAAUGUCUGGGAAACUGCCCGAUGGAGGGGGAUAACUACUGGAAACGGUAGCUAAUACCGCAUACCCUCGGAUGUGCCCAGAUGGGAUUAGCUGGUAGGUAGGGUAACGGCUCACCUAGGCGACGAUCCCUAGCUGGUCUGAGAGGAUGACCAGCCACACGGGAACGGAGACACGGUCCAGAGUCCUACGGGAGGCAGCAGUGGGGAAUAUUGCACAAUGGGCGCAAGCUUGAUGCAGCCAGGCCGCGUGUAGGAAGAAGGCCUUCGGGUUGUAAAGUACUUUCAGCGAGGAGGCGUUACUCGCAGAAGAAGCACCGGCUAACUCCGUGCCAGCAGCCGCGGUAAUAC
rnacentral:rRNA from 1 species